CCGGCAGCCAAGGUGGAUCAGACAGUUCAGGGGGCCAGGGUUGACCCAAAAGUUCAGGGGACCACGAGGGACCAGACAGUUCAGGUGGCCAGGGUGGACCCGAAAGUUCAGGGGACCACGAGGGACCCGGCAGUUCAGGUGGCCAGGGUGGACCCGAAAGUUCAGGGGACCACGAGGGACCAGGCAGUUCAGGUGGCCACGGAGGAUCAGUCCAUCUUAGUUGUGCAGACGGCCAGGGAGGAACUCGCCACUUGAGCGACCAGAGCGGAACCUGCCCUUCCGGUGUCCCAGUGGAGACGUGAAGGUGCUCUGGACGGCCUGUGGAGACGUGAAGGUGCUCUGGACGGCCUGUGGAGACGUGAAGGUGUUCUGGACGGCCUGUGGAGACGUGAAGUACCUCGACCUCGGGAACCAUCUCGGGCACCGCAACGGACAGCGCCUCGGGCACCGCAUCGGGAAUGGCCUCGGACCCUGCCUCGGGCACCGCAUCGGGAACGGCCUCCGCAUCGGGCACCGCCUCGGCCAUUGCAUCGGGCACCGCCUCGACCUCGGGCACCGCCUCAGUCUCGGGCAUUACAUCGGGAACCGUCUCUGGCACCGUCUCUGGCACCGCAUCGGGCACCGCCUCGGCAUCGGGCACCGUCUCGGCAUCGGGCACCGUCUCUGCAUCGGGCACCGCCUCGG
ensembl:lncRNA